rnacentral:rRNA from 1 species
UACGUAGGGGACGAGCGUUGUCCGGAAUUACUGGGCGUAAAGGGCGCGCAGGCGGUAUAUUCAAGUCAGCUGUCAAAGACUGGGGCUCAACCCUGGUAUGCGGUUGAAACUGAUAUGCUGGAGUGCUGUAGAGGCAAGUGGAAUUCCCAGUGUAGCGGUGAAAUGCGUAGAUAUUGGGAAGAACACCGGUGGCGAAGGCGACUUGCUGGGCAGCAACUGACGCUGAGGCGCGAAAGCGUGGGGAGCAAACAGGAUUAGA